rnacentral:lncRNA from 1 species
UCCAGCAAAAAGUUCGACUCCACGCAUAAAAUCAAACUCAUAGUCAAAUUACCAGCAAACAAAUUUUUUUAAAAAAAUAAAAAAUGGAAUGACGCUCGAACAAAUAUAACACAGAAAAAAAGUUACCUAAUUAUCGAAUCAUCGAUAGAGAUUCACACUAUCUGAAAUUAUCACAAUCAAAAAGAAGAAAAAGAAACAAAAACAAACAAACAAACAAUAGUUAAUACUAAGCCUAAAACACAGAUCAAAGACAAAAGAAAACGAACCUGACAAUUCCAAGUUCGUCGUGAGUCUGAAUAAUUCGCCCCCUCCACCGCUCCUAAAAUCCCUCACCGACUGAUUUCGCCUCACAUCAGAUGCAGAUCUAAACCCUCCGUCAUCAAAAUUAGGGCUUGACUUGGUAUGAGAGAUUUAGGCUGAUUCCGGUCCUAAAAUCCCCCACUGACUGAUUUCGACUGAUUCCGCCUCCCAUCAGAUGCAGUUCCUAUGUGCGAUUAGGGCUUGACUCGGUAUGAGAGAUUUAGGCUCUUGUAUAAGAUAUUAAGGUUGGAUAUGAGACAUUUAAGGAGAGAGAUAUUGUUGGGAAUGAGAUUUAGGGAGUUAGAUAUGGCUGGGUACGAAAUUUACCAGAGUAGACUGGGAGAGUUUGAGGACUUCGAAAAGGAGAAGGAACAAAUGAAAACCUCCGUGUUUUUUUUUCUUACCCGACUCCCGGCUCAUAACUCUGUUUUUCUAAAAG